GAUGAACGCUGGCGGCGUGCCUAAUACAUGCAAGUCGAGCGAACGGGCGAGAAGCUUGCUUCUCUGAUGUUAGCGGCGGACGGGUGAGUAACACGUGGAUAACCUACCUAUAAGACUGGGAUAACUUCGGGAAACCGGAACUAAUACCGGAUGAUAUUUUGAACCGCAUGGUUCAAAAGUGAAAGACGGUCUUGCUGUCACUUAUAGAUGGAUCCGCGCUGCAUUAGCUAGUUGGUAAGGUAACGGCUUACCAAGGCAACGAUGCAUAGCCGACCUGAGAGGGUGAUCGGCCACACUGGAACUGAGACACGGUCCAGACUCCUACGGGAGGCAGCAGUAGGGAAUCUUCCGCAAAGGGCGAAAGCCUGACGGAGCAACGCCGCGUGAGUGAUGAAGGUCUUCGGAUCGUAAAACUCUGUUAUUAGGGAAGAACAUAUGUGUAAGUAACUGUGCACAUCUUGACGGUACCUAAUCAGAAAGCCACGGCUAACUACGUG
rnacentral:rRNA from 1 species